rnacentral:rRNA from 1 species
UACGUAGGGGGCAAGCGUUGUCCGGAAUCAUUGGGCGUAAAGAGCGUGUAGGCGGCUCGGUAAGUCGGCUGUGAAAGUCCAGGGCUCAACCCUGGAAUGCCGGUGGAAACUGUCGAGCUAGAGUCCGGAAGAGGCGAGUGGAAUUCCUGGUGUAGCGGUGGAAUGCGCAGAUAUCAGGAGGAACACCAAUAGCGAAGGCAGCUCGCUGGGACGUUACUGACACUGAGGCGCGAAAGCGUGGGGAGCGAACAGG